CAUAGGCCGCGGUCGUCCCGGAGCACUCGAGCGGAACCUAGAUCCCGCGGUCUAAGUUCCUGCCCGAGCCUGAAACACGGAGAGCCAGUUUUUGGGCGCAUGCUCGCUGCAUGCUACGGCUCUCACCUGGCGCAGGCACAGGAGCGGCCCACAGCACUGUCCUCACAGCUCCGGGUCCCCUGGCCCCCGCGGCUUCAGAGAUUGUUGAACGGUGUUGGCCUUGAGUCUUGUCGACUUCGCGCCUCCCCCGCGACUCAGAGACAGAGUGACCUUGGCCGUGGUACAAACCGACCUAGGAACCAGAUGAGCAGAGACAUCUGCGUCCACACCUGGCCAUGCUCCUAUUAUUUAGAACUUGAGAAGCAAUGGGUCCCUGGAAAACUUUCAUUAACUUCUCUCUCACUAAAAUUUAUGACUGAUAAAACUAGAGAAAUUCUUGUCAACUUUCCCCUUUCUAGUAUAAUUGAGAUCAAGAAAGAAGCUUCUUAUUUUAUCUUCAGUUCUAUUACCAUCCUGGAAAAGGACCACAACAAGCACUGGUUCAGUUCCUUGCAGCCUAGUCGAAAUGUCGUUUUCAGCAUCAUCGAGCAUUUCUGGAGAGAGAAGCUGUUGUCCCAGUCAGGAGCUCCUGUUGGGGAAUCGUCCUCCCCUAUGACCAAGGGGAAGGAGUUGACUGGUCUGAUGGCCUGUACCCAGAAGCGUCUGGAAGACACAGCCAGAGUCCUCCACCAUCAGGGCGAGCAGCUUGACAGUAUCUCGAGAGGCCUGGACAAGAUGGAAUCUGACCUGGAUGUGGCUGACAGGCUGCUGACAGAACUGGAGUCUCCUUCUUGGUGGCCCUUUAGCUUCAAGCUUUGGAAGAUGCCAUCAGAAACAAAGCCCAAGUGGGACGCCUCAAUGGCUAGUUCCAAAGCUUUGGGAAAAGAAGGGAUAGUAAUCAAAAUUCCUGCUGUUAUUUCCCAAAAAACAGAAUCUCAUGUUAAACCAGGAAGGCUCACCGUCCUUGUUUCUGGAUUGGAAAUCCACAACUCAGAUUCUUUGCUCAUGCACAGAUUCGAAAGAGAAGAAGUAGAUGACAUCAAGGUUCAUACACCUUAUGAAAUUAGCAUCCGCCAGCGGUUCAUUGGGAAGCCAGAUAUAGCUUAUCGUUUGAUCUCUGCCAAGAUGCCGGAGGUUAUCCCCAUUUUGGAAGUGCAGUUCAGCAAGAAGAUCGAGUUUUUAGAAGAUGCCUUGAUGCUCAGAAGCACUAGAACCUCUCCCCUAGCAGAGAAGGGCUACUCAGUCUGGCAUGCAGCAUCUGGGCUGAUGGACCGUGCCAUGCACUGUGAGCCCUCCUCAGGGAGCCAGGAAGGGAGGCCACUUCAGCUACAGAUGAGCAAACCGUUAAUUUCCGAGGGGGACAGCCAGGAACUGAGACAGAUCCUGAGGAAACUAAAAGAUCUCGCGUUGGAUGCCGAAUCAGAGCUGGAGAGACAGGAUGAGGCCUUGGAUGGCAUCACUGCAGCUGUGGACCGGACAACCUUAACCAUUGACAAGCAUAAUCGACGAGUGAAAAAACUGACCUAGAAGGACAAGAAAGCAUAGAUGUGACUGCUUUUGUUGAGAAGCACUUCUCUGAGAUCCAUCCUAAUCCAAGGUCAUCUUGUCUUGAGAUCCUUACCUUGAUGACAUCUACAGAGACCCCAUUUCCAGAUAAGGUCACAUUCAGAGGUUCCCAGUGAGUAUGAAUUUUGGGUCACCUACGGAUGCCCAGCCUUGUCGUAGCUGACCCAUUCCAAAAAGACACGGAAAGUAGCACUUUUAGAAAGUAAUGUUCAUAAGGGUCUUUCAAUUCUUUCCUGUUUUGCAAUUUGGUAUAUUAUAUUCCUAGUCUGUUUGUCUUACUCGGUUUGUACUUACUAACCUCCAAAAUGAGAAGUGGACCUGUUCUUUCAAGGUUUCUCACGCUAAUGCAGCAUGUGAGCAGUUUGCUCUUGACCUUUCCUGGCACAUCAAGUGAUGGAGCUCUUGGAGCUCAUGCUCAUUCCAGGGGGUCUGAGCCCCAUGCAGCCCCUUCUAGUGCUUGAUGAUAGGGAGGUCGGGGAGGACACGGCAGGUGUGAAGAUGUGUCAUCAAGGACAGUUACUGAGAGCUGACGCCUAGAGGCAGCGGCAGCUGGAUCACGUCCCUAGGGACCUUGGAGGAAUGCUGGAGGAAAGGCAGCUCCUACCCUGGGCACAGGGCAGGUGCAGGUGUGCAGGCUGUGCCCAAAUACUGUAGCUUCUCACAGCAGCCCAUGAAGAGUGAGUUCCCCUGAGGUAGAGUAUGUGGUUCUCACCGUGGCCACACACUGGGCUCAUGCCAGGAACUCAGAAGAUACAAACACACGCACACACGCGUGCACUGACCCCAGACCCCUCAGUCAGAAUCUCUGAGGGUAUAUACAUUACCCAAAUGUUUCUAAUGAGCAGAAGGGGAAGAUCCACAGGCCAGGUGACUUACUGCCACCAGACCUGCUCUCUCCAUCUAGCUCUAGAGAGCCCUGAACAGCUGAAAUGAAAACGAAUCUGUCCCACUCAUGAUGCUGUUCUGAAUCCAGGUGGGCACUGCUCAAGAGUUCCCAGUGCAGCCUCCAGCGGCCAGCCAGCCUCUGCUUGUCCUGAAAACAGAUACCACCCAGCACUCAUGUGGCAUCAGGGCCGUACACACCUCGGCUGCUAACAGGCCUCUUGAAAGCAGGGGGCCAGGACUCCAUUGGUGAUCCCUCGCCAGGAGCAAGCCCUGAGCUCUCUGGGCCUCACGCUUUCCUAAUCCACCACCUGUGGAUGCAUAAAGCGCAGACACUCUGGGCAUGAAGGUGUGUGGUACAGAAGACAUUGUACUGUUAGAGGAUUAUUCUCCAGGCCUUUUCUCUCCCAUGAAUAGUUAAAUUGAUAGAGACUAUGGUCUGUUUAUGUGGAGACUUAGAGUGUAAAAAAAAAAAAAAAAAAAAAAAGCCAUCAAGGGCCAUUUUAUGCUAUUUUUUUUAACCUUGGCCCCAGAGUUAACUUUUUUAACCUUAACCCCUUCCAGUAGCAGAAAAUCCCUGUUUCAAACUGUUAGUCACCAAGGCUGAAACAAAAUUGCCAGGAACCGUAUAAAACCAGGCACUGAUUCCCACAGCACACUGAUUCCCCACCCCAGGUGCACUAGUUCCACCUCCCAUUGCUCCCUCAACUUAUGGUGCACUGACUCUGCCUCCACACUUUAGACAUGGGAAGGACACGAGGGGGAACAGAUAUUUUGAUGCUCCUAGAAGCAGUACCAGGGGAAGGAGAUGAGCAGGUAGGCUGGUGAUCUCUCCUGCCAUCCUCAGGCAGCCCAGGUGGUAAGUGCCGUGAUGGCUAGAACCAAGUGGAUCCCAUCAGGUGAGUAGACCCUCUGGAGAGUGGCAGGAAGGACACACUGAGCCUGUUGGCAUCAUCAUCGCUGGUGUUUGGAUCAGGACCUAUUGUGUCUCCUGUUUUGUUUUUUACUUUCCUGAUGUGGAGUGUGUCCUCUAACAUUGACACUGGGUUUAUGUGUGGGGUCAGGCUCACCCACAUGAGUACCAAACUCUAUUUGCCACUGUUUAGCCUGUGACUGAGGGAAUUAUGAGGGGAUUAUGUUAGUUUGUUGUCACCCUGUAAGGUGUUUGUACUUCCUAAAACAUAUAACACUUUGAGCUCAGUUUUACACUCUGUAGAGGUGGGCAGAAUACAAGACCCACAUCUGAUGCAGCUGUGAGACCAAUAUUGAGCUGAAAUGAAACUGCUUUGACAUUUCAUCAAAAAUGGCUGAUCCUUUUGUUUGUUUAGGGCAGAAGUCAGGAGACUUUUUCUAUAAAGGGUCAGGUAGGAAAUACUUCAUCUUUCAAGCCAUAUGGUGUCUGUUGUGAACAAAUGGCCAUGCUAUGUUCCAGUAAAACUACCUGUGAGAUUAGAAUUUCAUAUAUGUCAUGUGUCCUGAAAUGUUAUUUUUGUUUUGAUUUUCUUCUUUCAACCAUUUGAAAAUUCACACAUGUCCUUAGCUUGCAGGCCAUAGGAGAACAGACUGCAGGGCUUUGUAGUCACCUGCCCAGGUGGGUGUGUUCCUUUUGAGGUUUCACAUAAACUUGUCCAGCAUUGUCUGUCCUGGAGGGCAACUUACUUCCCUCCUCAGCCCCAAACUCAAACAUGGCCUGAGCCCUUCACAUGCCACUGCUGCUGGUGGCCAAAGCUGAGUCUAGGGUUGCGGCUGGGAGGGUUCUGUGUAUUUUUGCCAUAAAAAACAAAAAGGGCAUAAUGAAAAAGACAAAAAUGGCAUAAUGAAACAUGAAAAAUUAAUGACAAAAUCUUUAAAAGAUCUUAUUGUGGAAAAAUGAAAAUACUAAAAAUAUUUUAAUACAAUUAAAAUGUGUGUAGAUUCAUGGUUAUAGUUGUAUUUGGAUAUAACUUAGAGGAAGUGAUGAUACUUCCUUUUUCAAAGUCAGUCAUUAAGGAUUCAGGAUCUAAUGUCUGUUGUAAGUUCUUUACGAUAUAAAAAAAGCUGUUUUCUCUUCAGGUUUUUCUGGAAGUAAAAUAACAGAUGAAGAAUGCUGUUUCUUAUCAAUAUAUUUCUUGUGUAUAACUGGUAGUACAUAUCUGGACUACAUUUAAAUGUUUCAUCACAUGUCCAGUUCUUAUAUUUAACCAAAUCAUCUAAGCAAGAUCUGUGCCAAAUGCCAAAAUUCUGGUUACAUCAUGUACUCCACUAUCAAAUAGCAAAAACGUUUCACCAUUUUCAAGAAACUUAUGCUCAUCAGGAAUCACAUAACCAUUUAUUUUUGUGAGGGAUAGGAGGUCCUAGAUUCUUCUUUUGUCUCCGACUUCUAAUAUUGCAUAAGUUUGGUAAAGAAAGCAUUAGAGAACAAGCUGCCAUAUCUAAAUUAGCUCAAGAAUCGAUAAUUAAUGCUCUCAAAGACUGCUGUGAAUUAGUUACUUUAUCUUUUAUGGUACAAUGGCCGUACAGCCAAUUAGUUGUGUGACCGAAAUGCUUGCAGCAAAGAUGCUUACAGCAAACAUACCGGUCAUAGGCUGGGAGACCCCUACCACCUUGUUUCCUGACUGUGCUCAGCUGUUCAGAGCCUCAAAGCCUGCACUGAUGGCACAAAGUCAGUCCUGUUCCUUUUAAAGGCAGAAACGGGGAGCAGUAGAGGAGAGUGAGAUGGGAAAUGGCAGGUACUGGUUUCCACAAGUUAUCUUCUCUGGAGGCCCCAAAUCGGCACACACAAAUUUUAGGAGAGAGGAAAAAACAAGUCAAUCCUUGAGACAUUUUCAAAUAACACAGGAAACUCAACUAUAUGCAGUCAGUUGGGGUGGGGGCUUUGGUUUUGGGUUUGAUGAAAUGGCCUCUCUUGGAGACAGUUGUAUUGAUUGGGGCAUCAACCCUGGCAUGAGACCACACGACAAGCAGGUACCUCCAAGGCCCCACUGGCCUCACCUGUGAGGAGCCCUCUCCCCUCUCACUGCUCCCAGUUUAAUUAUUAGCUACGGGUUUGAAUAAAACUUGAAACACUUGCAAAUUGUAAUCAGUUUUCACAUUUGCAACUGAUUUCCACAGCCACGUAACAUCUCAAGCUUUUGGCACCCAUCUGGAAACUUAGAACAGCAGUGGGUUUGCCCAGGAGGUAAUUUUCCCUGAUUCAUUUUGAAAGUGAAAAGUCACAGGGUUGGUCCUUCAGCUAGGGUGGUCCUGCUUCCCAGAAGGACUGCUCAGUCCCAUCCCUCAGCUUCCUCAGUGAGAAGUAGACCGGCAUGGGCAGAGUGGGGAAGGCAUAGAUUCAGAGACAGCAGGAGCUGCUCACCAGCCCAGGAGAGCCAUUCAGGGGCCACAUGCAGUGUCCAGGUGAGGAGACCCAGGCUGCAGGGGUGGGGAGCUAUGAGCAGGACCAUGGUCAAGGCUGUGUUCUGUGGGCCUGACUCAUGUCCUGGGCUCUCGCUGGUUAGGCACCAUGUCCAGGCCAUCCCAUCAUGAGUGGCUACUGUCCUGGGGGGCACUGGUGCCGCACUAACGGUCCAACAUGUUCUCCCACCAGGUCUGAAGCAGCACUGGUUCCUCAGAGCCCUCUGGAUUUUAUUU